GGGCCACCUGUAAGUUGGAGAAGGACUCACAUCAACAUUGUUGUCACUGGCACUUGGCUAUGCUGCUGCAGGGACCUACUGGACUGCAAACGACUGGCAAGGAGGAUGGCAGUGGCUAGAACUGAGAUACACAGCAGGUGUCCAACCGAUACUGUUUCAUUCUGAGCACACAAGUGGUUCCCAAGUAUUUCUCCUGAGCCUGCCACGAGCCAAAGUUAAUUCCAUUUAGAAGUAAGUGCCAACCAUACCCAUCAAUACAAGAGUAGUGGAUUAGAAAAUAGCUAAUAUUUUACCAUAGCAGGCUCUCCAAGGAAAAGAGGAAGCUGAUUGAUUUUACCAUCGUUCAAGUGUUUCGCCAAAAUCUAAAACACCAAAAAUAAAUUAAAUGGUCUACACACUUACACAGAACUUUGGGUCAAAGGAUACAGUACCUUUAGGAUAACAUGUUAUAUAUUCCAAGCAAAUUAAAUGACAGUGUUCAAACAUAGCAGCCACCUGUUCAGUAAAAUCUUUCUUAACCAGUGUGAGACGCAGGAAUAAACUUGUAUCUUAACAUGCAUGUGUGCAGCUACACGUGUCUGUGUGUGGUUGUUGUGUGCAGAGUCACUUCAGUCACUUAACUUUGGGACCAAACCACCCUGACCCAAUCCUACAGACCUAGCCCUAUGGAGACUUUACUGUGCUAUCUAACCUAAUCCUUGCAUCCCAAAUGUGUUAUUUACCAAAAUAACAGCACGUCAUUCAGAGUUUACUCUGUAGGGAAACAGAUGCAUUUUGAACUUGCCCAGCACACAUUCAUUCAGCAAUCUACUAGUUAUCACAGAGGUAAAGUGAUCUGAAUCCCCAAAUCACUGCAGGCUCUUUUCCUAACUCUUAGGCUCUGCCACCAAUGCAGGAAUUAUAACAAGGGCUGCAUACCCCCAAAGCCUGUAUACUCCACAGGUGGUAAGAUUUCCAACUGUACAGCUGGGUGCAGUGGCUCGCACCUGCAAUCCUAUCACUCUGUGAGGCCAAGGUGGGUGGACUGCCCUGGGCUCAGGAGUUCGAGACCAGCCUGAGCAAGAGAGAGGCCAUGUCUCUAAAAAAUAGCCAGGAGUUGUGGUGGGUGCCUUUUGUCCAGCUACUUUGGAGGCUGAGGCAAGAGAAUCGCUGGAGCCCAAAAGUUUGAGGUUGCUGUGAGCUAUGAUGCCAUGGCAUACUACCAAGGGUGACAAAAUGAAAUUGUCUAAAAAAAAAAAAAUUUCCAACUGUAACUUUUACCACUCCAGACUCUCACCUUGGAAUCAUCCUGCAUAUACAGAUUAAUUAGUAUAGAUCACACACUCCUCUAACAGGACUUGAGGAAUAUCUCAUGUGUAGAAAAGAUUAAUCUAAAAUUUAAGCAGCUUGGCGCCUGUAGCUCAGUGGUUAGGGUGCUGGCCACAUAUACCAGGGCUUGCAGGAUUGAACCCAGCCAGGCCUGCUAAACAAUGGCAACUACAACUACAACAAAAAAGAUAGCCAAGUGUUAUGCUGGGCGCCUGUAGUCCCAGCUACUUGGGAGGCUGAGGCAAAAGAAUCACUUAAGCCCGAGAGUUUGAGGUUGCUGUGAGCUGUGAUGCCACAGCAUUCUACCAAGGGCAACAUAGGGAGACUCUGUCUCAAAAAAUAAAUAAAUAAAUAAAAUAAAAUAAACUGUAAGCCUUUAAACAAUUUCAGCAAAGAAUGUUAGCAUCGCUUUGUGUUUUUUAACUUUGAGUUCUGUAUAACUAUAUAAGAUAGAUUAAUAAUACUGGGUCUCAAGAUUAACCUGAUAACUACAUUUAGAUCUAUUAUAAGUUUGGGGAAAGACUUAUAUUACUACCGACAUUCUUCUGUAAGCAUGUGAUUUAUGGGUGAUCUUUUAAUCUGGUGUUUUAAAUUGUAUUUCAAAAGAUGAUGUUUGCUUGUCUCAAGUUACCUUCUGGGUUUAACCACUUACUUCAUCGAAGGUGGUAUAAAGAGCUGUUGACUUCAGAAAAGGAAAAAAUAAAACACAGUUAAGGCAAAAUACAAAUACAGUAGCAUUCAAAGCAUAAAAUAAUUA